rnacentral:lncRNA from 1 species
GGGAGCUUAGAUGUGGAAGCUCUUUGGAAACCAAGAAACACUCUGAAAAUGAAAAGGGAAGCAGAAGUUCUCCUUAGCUGAUUUUUCUUCUUGCCUUAUACUGGGUUCUUUAACACCAGAACAAAAAUAAAUAAAUAAAAGAAUCUUCCAGAAAUUCAUGAAGAGACUUCAGGUCAGGAAAGCCUGAACUUUCUCAUCCAACACCCGUUCAAGUCGGAGGAUGCUGAUUAAUUCAUGAUGGAAAGGUAUCAAUUUCACAGCCCAGACCUCUACAUUCUUGAAAUGCUCUUCUCAUGGGAGACAUUAAAUAAGCUUUGAAUUAACUGAAGAACCAAUGAUGUGAUCCCUGGAUACUGGCAAUUGUUGCCCAAGAAAACCUCUCCCCUUGCUGUGGGACUGCUGGGCACCCAAAUAAUGCACCCAAAUAAUUUGAUAGCUCUUGUUACACAGCUCUUCUUGGACUAAAAGGCCCUCAGCAUUCCUGUCAAUUUCUACACUCCUGAAGCUUCAUCUGGAGACCUCUGUGGAUUCUAUAACUCAAAGACCCAGGCUGACGGCUGGUGGAAUAGCUACCAUCUCAAAC